rnacentral:rRNA from 1 species
UACGUAGGGUCCGAGCGUUGUCCGGAAUUAUUGGGCGUAAAGGGCUCGUAGGCGGUCUGUUGCGUCGGGAGUGAAAACUUACAGCUUAACUGUGAGCGUGCUUCCGAUACGGGCAGACUUGAGGUAUUCAGGGGAGAACGGAAUUCCUGGUGUAGCGGUGAAAUGCGCAGAUACCAGGAGGAACACCGGUGGCGAAGGCGGUUCUCUGGGAAUAUCCUGACGCUGAGGAGCGAAAGUGUGGGGAGCGAACAGG